AUUGAACGCUGGCGGCAUGCCUUACACAUGCAAGUCGAACGGUAACAGGUCUUCGGAUGCUGACGAGUGGCGAACGGGUGAGUAAUACAUCGGAACGUGCCCGAUCGUGGGGGAUAACGCAGCGAAAGCUGUGCUAAUACCGCAUACGAUCUACGGAUGAAAGCGGGGGAUCGCAAGACCUCGCGCGGACGGAGCGGCCGAUGGCAGAUUAGGUAGUUGGUGGGAUAAAAGCUUACCAAGCCGACGAUCUGUAGCUGGUCUGAGAGGACGACCAGCCACACUGGGACUGAGACACGGCCCAGACUCCUACGGGAGGCAGCAGUGGGGAAUUUUGGACAAUGGGGGAAACCCUGAUCCAGCCAUGCCGCGUGCAGGAUGAAGGCCUUCGGGUUGUAAACUGCUUUUGUACGGGACGAAAAGGUCCUUUCUAAUAAAGAGGGCUCAUGACGGUACCGUAAGAAUAAGCACCGGCUAACUACGUG
rnacentral:rRNA from 1 species